rnacentral:lncRNA from 1 species
ACCUUAUAAAGGACGACCAGUGCUGACCUAAUAUUUCUGGUUCCCUUCUACUGUGUGUACAACAGAACCUGGUGGCGCAAGAGAAGGUGCCUUCUAGCACGAAGCACUGGUAAGAGAUAACCUCGCCAGGAAAGGUACUUGCUUUUUCGUUCUUGUCACCUGCGACCUUUGGAGCUUCACUUUAUUUUCAGUUUUCCCACCUCCAAUCUUUAAAUGUCAUCAUGUUUCUUCUAGAGCAAAUUUCCCAGCCGCUAUGGAUGAGGACGAGGUCUUCGACCGAGCCUCGCUUGGAUCUACAUCAUCGGUAAACAAAAUAAUCCAUCCAGAUAUCCAGGUUAGUCAAACUUCACCGCCCUCUUUCCCGAUAGCUUUACUCUCUGCAGAUGUCG